rnacentral:rRNA from 1 species
AGAGUUUGAUCCUGGCUCAGAUUGAACGCUGGCGUCAUGCUUUACACAUGCAAGUCGAACGGCAGCGCGGGGCAACCUGGCGGCGAGUGGCGAACGGGUGAGUAAUACAUCGGAACGUACCCAGAAGUGGGGGAUAACGUAGCGAAAGUUACGCUAAUACCGCAUACGUUCUACGGAAGAAAGUGGGGGAUCUUCGGACCUCAUGCUUUUGGAGCGGCCGAUGUCUGAUUAGCUAGUUGGUAGGGUGAAGGCCUACCAAGGCGACGAUCAGUAGCUGGUCUGAGAGGACGACCAGCCACACUGGGACUGAGACACGGCCCAGACUCCUACGGGAGGCAGCAGUGGGGAAUUUUGGACAAUGGGCGCAAGCCUGAUCCAGCAAUGCCGCGUGAGUGAAGAAGGCCUUCGGGUUGUAAAGCUCUUUUGUCAGGGAAGAAACGGCUGAGGUUAAUACCUUCGGCUAAUGACGGUACCUGAAGAAUAAGCACCGGCUAACUACGUGCCAGCAGCCGCGGUAAUACGUAGGGUGCAAGCGUUAAUCGGAAUUACUGGGCGUAAAGCGUGCGCAGGCGGUUUUGUAAGUCUGACGUGAAAUCCCCGGGCUCAACCUGGGAAUUGCGUUGGAGACUGCAAGGCUGGAGUCUGGCAGAGGGGGGUAGAAUUCCACGUGUAGCAGUGAAAUGCGUAGAGAUGUGGAGGAACACCGAUGGCGAAGGCAGCCCCCUGGGU